rnacentral:rRNA from 1 species
UGGGGGAUUUUCCGCAAUGGGCGAAAGCCUGACGGAGCAAUGCCGCGUGGAGGAAGAAAGCCCAUGGGUUGUAAACUCCUUUUAUCAGAGAAGAAACAAUGACGGUAUCUGAAGAAUAAGCAUCGGCUAACUCUGUGCCAGCAGCCGCGGUAAGACAGGGGAUGCAAGCGUUAUCCGGAAUGAUUGGGCGUAAAGCGUCUGUAGGUUGCUUUUUAAGUCCAUCGUCAAAUCCCAGGGCUUAACCCUGGACAGGCGAUGGAUACUACUAGGCUAGAGUACGGUAGGGGCAGGGGGAAUUUCCGGUGGAGCGGUGAAAUGCGUAGAUAUCGGAAAGAACACCAAUGGCGAAGGCACUCUGCUGGGCCGAAACUGACACUGAGAGACGAAAGCUAGGGGAGCGAAUGGG